CCUACGGGUGGCAGCAGUGAGGAAUAUUGGUCAAUGGACGGAAGUCUGAACCAGCCAAGCCGCGUGCAGGAAGACGGUUCUAAGAGUUGUAAACUUCUUUUGUCCGAGGGUAAAGGCGGAGACGCGUAUCCGGCUGAGAGUAUCCGACGAAUAAGGAUCGGCUAACUCCGUGCCAGCAGCCGCGGUAAUACGGAGGAUGCAAGCGUUAUCCGGAUUUAUUGGGUUUAAAGGGUGCGGAGGCGGGCGGAUAAGUUAGAGGUUAAAUCCCGGGGGUCAACAUCGGACCUGCCUUUGAUACUGGUAUUCUGGAGUGUGUGAGAGGAAAGUGGAAUUCGUGGUGUAGGAGUGAAAUGCAUAGAUAUCUGGAGGAACAUCAGUUGCGAAGGCGGCAAACUGGCUCCUAACUGACGCUGAGGAGCGAAAGCGUGGGUAUCAAACAGGAUUAGAUACCCUAGUAGUC
rnacentral:rRNA from 1 species